rnacentral:rRNA from 1 species
UACGUAGGUGGCGAGCGUUGUCCGGAAUUACUGGGCGUAAAGGGCGCGUAGGCAGAUAUUUAAGUGAGAUGUGAAAUACCCGGGCUCAACUUGGGUGCUGCAUUUCAAACUGGAAGUCUAGAGUGCAGGAGAGGAGAAUGGAAUUCCUAGUGUAGCGGUGAAAUGCGUAGAGAUUAGGAAGAACACCAGUGGCGAAGGCGAUUCUCUGGACUGUAACUGACGCUGAGGCUCGAAAGCGUGGGGAGCAAACAGGAUUAGA